rnacentral:misc_RNA from 1 species
GUGAAGAACGUAGCGAAAUGCGAUACGUAAUGUGAAUUGCAGAAUUCAGUGAAUCAUCGAAUCUUUGAACGCAUAUUGCGCUCUUUGGUAUUCCGAAGAGCAUGCUUGUUUGAGUAUCAGUAAACACCUCAACCUCUUCUUGAUUUUUCAAAAGGAGGGUGGACUUGAGCUAUCCCAACAACCUUUACCGGUCGGCGGGCGGCUUGAAAUGCAGGUGCAGCUGGACUUUUAUCUGAGCUAAAAGCAUAUCUAUUUAGUCCUCGUCAAACAGGAUUAUUACUUUUGCUGCAGCUAACAUAAAGGAUAAUUGUCCUCUUUGCUGACUGAUGCAGGAUUUUACGACACUUUAUGUGUUGUUCAACUCGAUCUCAAAUCAAGUAAGACUACCCGCUGAACUUAAGCAUAUCAAUAAGCGGAGGA